rnacentral:rRNA from 1 species
AUGGUGGGCUCGGGGGCGGCAGGAGGGGGAGGCGGGGAUCAUGCGCGGAGCAAAGAGGCCGCGGGGAUGAUGGCGCUGCACGAGGCGCUCCGCAACGUCUGCCUCAACUCGGACUGGACUUACUCCGUCUUCUGGACCAUCCGUCCUCGCCCGCGGUGCCGCGGCGGCAACGGGUGCAAGGUCGGCGACGACAACGGCAGCCUGAUGCUGAUGUGGGAGGACGGGUUCUGCCGGCCGCGGAUGGCGGAGUGCCUGGAGGACAUGGAGGGCGAGGACCCGGUGCGCAAGGCCUUCAGCAAGAUGUCCAUCCAGCUCUACAACUACGGAGAAGGGCUGAUGGGAAAGGUGGCAUCUGAUAAGUGUCACAAAUGGGUCUUCAAGGAACCUUCUGAAUGCGAGCCCAACAUCGCCAACUACUGGCAGAGCUCUUUUGAUGCCCUUCCUACGGAAUGGACCGACCAGUUCGCCUCAGGCAUCCAGACCAUCGCCGUGAUUCAAGCCGGCCAUGGCCUCCUGCAGCUGGGCUCCUGCAAGAUCAUACCGGAGGACCUGCACUUCGUGCUGCGGAUGCGACACAUGUUCGAGUCACUGGGCUACCAGUCGGGCUUCUUCCUCUCGCAGCUCUUCUCCUCCUCCCGGGGCGCCUCCUCCACGCCGUCCUUCCCGCUCAAGCAGCCGCCGCCGGCGCGCCCGCCCCCGCAGCUCUUCAACUGGCCGGGCCAGCCGCAGCUCCCCCACGCCGCCGCGUCGCCCCUGUUCCCGCCGGGGCCGGCCGCGUUCCACCCGUCAGCGAGGUCGUCGAUGCCGCAUUACCCGGGCGGCGGGGGCGGCAAGGACGAGGGCCACAUGUACCACCUCGCGCCGUCGCAGCAUGGCAAGCCGCCACACCUGGACGAACACCAGCACCAGCAGCAGAUGCAGCCCGGGGAGGCGCCCGACGGCGACCUCAAGUGGCCCAACGGGCUGUCCUUCUUCACCGCGCUCACCGGGCGCUCAGAUGACUCGAAGCUUUUGUACGGCGGCCCCGGCGGCGGUGGUGGAGGCGGCGCAGACGACGGGAAGCCAGCGCAGGACGCGCAGACAGGGCACGGCGGCGCGGAGAACGUGGAGGAGUACCUGAGCCUGGAGAGCCACUCGAACAAGGCGAGGAGGAUGGAGAACACCCAGAGCGCCAAGUUCAAGAGGAGCUUCACGUUGCCGGCGAGGAUGAGCUCGUCCAACUCGCCGUCCCCGUCCGUGUCGGCCUCGACGGGGCCGGCGCCGCAGCAGCAGCAGCAAGGGAUGGAGUACCGAGCGCAGCACGAGGGCAGCGUCUACUCGGACCUCAUGGAGACGUUCUUGGAGUAG